rnacentral:rRNA from 1 species
UGGCCCUACGGGGGGCAGCAGUGAGGAAUAUUGGUCAAUGGGCGGAAGCCUGAACCAGCCAAGUCGCGUGAGGGAUUAAGGCCCUAUGGGUCGUAAACCUCUUUUGUCAGGGAGCAAGGUCGUCCACGUGUGGGCGUAUGGAGAGUACCUGAAGAAAAAGCAUCGGCUAACUCCGUGCCAGCAGCCGCGGUAAUACGGAGGAUGCGAGCGUUAUCCGGAUUUAUUGGGUUUAAAGGGUGCGUAGGCGGGCUUUUAAGUCAGCGGUAAAAAUUCGGGGCUCAACCCCGUCCGGCCGUUGAAACUGG